UGUGGCUCAGUGGUAGAGUGCUUGCUUAGCACGCAGAGGCCCUGGGUUCAAUCCUCAGCA
rnacentral:tRNA from 1 species